rnacentral:lncRNA from 1 species
GCUCCAGGUAAAUCCUGGUCCUUCUUGGUGGCUGUAUGAUCUUAACAACAAAACCAAGCCUUUGUGCACAUCUGUGGUUGUGACCAGUUGGAGAGACAUUAGGAGAUGAGAUACUAUGUUCACUCCUCACAGCUGUACCAGGGACCUGAGAUAUUCCGUCACUAUUCUAUGAGCCUGGGCUGGUGAAUGGUUCCUGCUUUCACUAUUCCAGAUGUCCAGCUCUGUACCUUGCUGCUCUCCUUAAAGCCUGCCUCCCUCUAGAUGGUCUGGCUUGAUGAUAUCCAACCUGACGUGGCCUGAAGAGACAGACAGUGGCUCUUGCUAGCUAAUUAUUGUCAGAUGGAUCGGCAGCCGACCAACGCUUCUGAAACUAUUGUUUUUGGCAAAUGUUCCUCAACAUUUUCCUGGGAGCUAUGGUGCAUUACUCACGAGUGACAGAACCAACGAGCUUCAUCUCCCAAGAGGCUGGUGCAUCUGUUUAAAGGAGCAGGCACUAGGCAGAGCAGCCCCCACCCCACCCUCCAUGGCAGAGUGCAGUGGGGGAAGAAGUUUUCAUAGAAAUGCUUUCUAUAAAGCAUUUUCAUAGAGAAAGCAGGUUCAUAUAGAAAGCACUGGCUGCUGGUUGGAGUGGAGAGAUUGAAGACCCUCAUCUAGGAUCAAGCAACCCCCAGAAAACAAUUUUAAACAUGUCCAUUCAGACAAAAGGAGUCCAAAACCAUAAGAUCCUCUCAGCAUCCUGAACUAAUGUCCAGCUGUUAUCUCGGGAUGGGAUUUCACCAUGUUGUCCAAGCUGGUUUUGAACUCCUGGGGUCAAGAAAUCCACCUGCUUCGGCCUCCCACAGUGCUGGGAUUACAGAUGGGGAAACUGAGGCACAGAGAGGUUAGAGAUAUGCCUGAAGCCACACAGCUUGCAAGUGGUGGAUCUGGGAUUUGAACUUGUCGAUCUGGCUGCAGAGCUGAGCUCUUGGAGACUAGGUUUUACUGCCUAGUAGCAUGUAAGCCUGGAACUGCCGGCAGUCAUUUUGUAAGUUUGCCGAGUGAACCUCAAUGAGCAUGAAGCAGAGAGGAAAGCAGUACUAAGAGAUGCAAAAGAGUCUGUGUUCCAGCAAUGGGAUCUGAAGUCCUGGAUCAAACCUUACCUGGAGACAAGAUUUACCCAUCAGACAUGCCAGUUAUAAGACCCAAAUUUACCCUUUUUGGGGGAUUGAGUUUGAAUGAGUAUUUUUGUUUGUUUGUUUUGGCAUCAGAAAGACUCCUGAUUAAUACACAGUGUGACGCUGACCAAGAUGCUUCCUUUCUCUAGGACUCAAUUUUCUUAUCUGUAAAGUAAAGGGUUCAUCAACA